rnacentral:snoRNA from 1 species
UCGAUAUCGAUAGGUGGGAUAAUCCUUACCUGUUCCUCGUUUUGGAGGGCAGAUAGAACAUGAUGAUUGGAGAUGCAUGAAAUGUGAUUAAUGCCUCUGCCUAAUCAGGACUUGCAACACCCUGAGUACUCCUCUCUGAU